UCAGCUCGUGUUGUGAAAUGUUGGGUUAAGUCCCGCAACGAGCGCAACCCUUAUCCUUUGUUGCCAGCGGUUAGGCCGGGAACUCAAAGGAGACUGCCAGUGAUAAACUGGAGGAAGGUGGGGAUGACGUCAAGUCAUCAUGGCCCUUACGAGUAGGGCUACACACGUGCUACAAUGGCGCAUACAAAGAGAAGCGACCUCGCGAGAGCAAGCGGACCUCAUAAAGUGCGUCGUAGUCCGGAUUGGAGUCUGCAACUCGACUCCAUGAAGUCGGAAUCGCUAGUAAUCGUAGAUCAGAAUGCUACGGUGAUACGUCCCGGCCUUU
rnacentral:rRNA from 1 species